AACGCACAUUGCGCCCUCUGGUAUUCCGGAGGGCAUGCCUGUUCGAGCGUCAUAAUGACCAACUCACCGUAAUGGUGGUCUUGGGGAUGGCUAACUAGCCUCCCUUAAAAUCAGUGGCGGUGCUGUCAAGCUCUAAGCGUAGUAAUUUUCUCGCUAUAGCGUCUUGAUGGUGACUUGCCAUAACCCCAACUCUUUUAAGGUUGACCUCGGAUCAGGUAGGGAUACCCGCUGAACUUAA
rnacentral:misc_RNA from 1 species